UGUUAUUGUUGUGGACAAAAAUAUUAACCCAAUCCAUGUUAGUAAAAUGCCUAUUUACUCAGCAUAACUACAAUCAGCAUUAUUCAACUUUCUAUGUGAUUUACCUAAAAUGGCCACUAGGGAGUUUCCCCUUUGACAUCGACUAACACCCUCAUUAACAAGAUGGCGCUGGAAUCUGGGGGAGACCUCCAAGAUACCAGUGACAUCACACCCGGU